ensembl:lncRNA
UACAUCACAUGGUAUCUAGUAUCUGGUGUCAGAUAUUGUUGUUUACAUCACAUGGUAUCUAGUAUCUGGUGUCAGAUAUUGUUGUUUACAUCACAUGGUAUCUAGUAUCUGGUGUCAGAUAUUGUUUACAUCACAUGGUAUCUAGUAUCUGGUGUCAGAUAUUGUUGUUUACAUCACAUGGUAUCUAGUAUCUGGUGUCAGAUAUUGUUGUUUACAUCACAUGGUAUCUAGUAUCUCAGAUAUUGUUGUUUACAUCACAUGGUAUCUGGUGUCAGAUAUGGUUGUUUACAUCACAUGGUAUCUAGUAUCUGGUGUCAGAUAUUGUUGUUUACAUCACAUGGUAUCUAGUAUCUGGUGUCCGAUGUUGUUGUUUACAUCACAUGGUAUCUAGUAUCUGGUGUGAAAUCAGAUAUUGUUGUUUACAUCACAUGGUAUCUAGUAUCUGGUGUCAGAUAUUGUUGUUUACAUCACAUGGUAUCUGGGGUCAGAUAGUGUUGUUUACAUCACAUGGUAUCUGGUGUCAGAUAUUGUUGUUUACAUCACAUGGUAUCUGGUGUCAGAUAUGAUUCCCACAUUGACUGCAUCCCAAAUGGCCCCAUUGGGGACCCAGCCAUUAUCUGGUGUGUAGAAGGAUUGUCAGAGAUAAUGGUUAACUGGAUAGAACAGGAAAUGGCUGGUAGGAGGGACUGGGGAUGGUAUAUUGUCCCUCACUCUGUAGCUUAGGCUCACUAUGGAAGACUGUCUCUCUCUCUAUCUCUCUCUCUCUCUCUUUCUCUGUCUCUCUUUCUCUCUCUCGGUCUCUCUUUCUCUCUCUGUCUCUCUUUCUCUCUCUCCCUCCUCUCUCUCUCUCUCUCUCUCUCUCUCUCUCUGUCUCUCUCUCUCUCUCUCUCUCUCUCUCUUCCUCUGUCUGUGUCUCUCUCUUUCUCUGUGUCUCUCUCUCUUUCGCUCUCUCUCUCUCUCUCUCUCUCUCUCUCUCUCUCUCUCUCUCUGUGUCUCUCUCUCUCUGUCUCUCUCUCUCUUUCUCUCUCUCUGUCUCUCUUUCUCUCUCUGUCUCUGUCUCUGUCUUUGUCUCUGUCUCUCUCUCUGCCUCUGUCUCUCUCUGUCUCUCUCUCUGUCUUCAUAGUCUCCCUGUCUCGCUCUCUGUUGUUAUAGUCUGUCUGUCUCUCCUGCCAUCUCACUCUUUCUCCAUCUCUCUCAGUUCACCACAUUACAGCCCAAGUGAAAUGCUUGACAGGCACUGUCUGUCUGUCUGUCUGUCUGCCGGUGACCAGAUAAAUCUUCUCUUGGUGUAGUUCAAGGUCUCCACAGUGUCCCUUGGCGUGUCACAGGAGGAGCAUGGAGUCGUGUCAGGGCCAAGCUGAUAGGUGGAAUGGCUGACGUCAGGUUGUCUCGUUGUUGUUGUUGUUGUCGUUGAUCCUAUCUAUGGUCCAAUGUGGACAUGGUGUCAACAUGAGGUCGCGCUAUUGUGUCAACUAACAAAAACAAGUGGACUGAAUGAAGGAAGAGUCCAACUGUCAGAGCUGAGUGAGUGGUUAGUUACCUUUCACAUGGGAUACUCCUCUACCAGGAUGGAUAUCAGGGGGCCAUUUGGGAUCUAAUCACAUUCUGUCAGCUGUCGGAAUAACUAGAGCCCAUAUCCCAGUAUUCCUGUUAUUGUUCCUGUUAUUAUUCCUGCUUUUAAGACCCUUCUUGUUCCCAGAUGGGAAACCAGGCUAUCCAGUCCAAUCAUUUAUCCAUCUGAUCACCCUCAACUUCCUCAGGCCAGAUAAGUUCAACUUCCUCAGGCCAGAUAAGUCCAACUUCCUCAGGCCAGAUAAGUCCAACUUCCACAGGCCAGAUAAGUCCAAUUCAACUUCCUCAGGCCAGAUAAGUCCAACUUCCUCAUGCCAGAUAAGUCCAACUUCCUCAGGUCAGAUAAGUCCAACUCAACUUCCUCAGGCAAGAUAAGUCCAACUUCCUCAGUCCAGAUAAGUCCAACUUCCUCAGGCCAGAUAAGUCCAACUUCCUCAGUCCAGAUAAGUCCAAAUUCCUCAGGCCAGAUAAUUCCAACUCAACUUCCUCAGUCCCGAUAAGUCCAACUCAACUUCCUCAGUCCCGAUAAGUCCAACUCAACUUCCUCAGUCCAGAUAAGUCCAACUCCUAUCCUUCAGUCCAGAUAAGUCCAACUCAACUGCACCAAAUGAAAGUGAUGGGCAAGGCUACUGCAUGUAGGAUACUGAUGGAGACGUGUUUCUCUCCUUUACCCAAGACCCUUUCUGUUUUAUACCUCUCUCUGUCUGUCCUCAAGAUAACAAACAAAACCAAGGUUAGUCUUGUUUAUGUCUCCUCUCCUCCAUGUCUCAGUGUCUUACUGCAGGUCUAUAAUAUGUCUCCUCCAUGUCUCUGUGUCUUACUGCAGGUCUAUAAUAUGUCUCCUCUCCUCCAUGUCUCUGUGUCUUACUGCAGGUCUAUAAUAUGUCUCCUCUCCUCCAUGUCUCUGUGUCUUACUGCAGGUCUAUAAUAUGUCUCCUCCAUGUCUCUGUGUCUUACUGCAGGUCUAUAAUAUGUCUCCUCCAUGUCUCAGUGUCUUACUGCAGGUCUAUAAUAUGUCUCCUCCAUGUCUCUGUGUCUUACUGCAGGUCUAUAAUAUGUCUCCUCCAUGUCUCAGUGUCUUACUGCAGGUCUAUAAUAUGUCUCCUCCAUGUCUCUGUGUCUUACUGCAGGUCUAUAAUAUGUCUCCUCUCCUCCAUGUCUCUGUGUCUUACUGCAGGUCUAUAAUAUGUCUCCUCUCCUCCAUGUCUCUGUGUCUUACUGCAGGUCUAUAAUAUGUCUCCUCCAUGUCUCUGUGUCUUACUGCAGGUCUAUAAUAUGUCUCCUCUCCUCCAUGUCUCUGUGUCUUACUGCAGGUCUAUAAUAUGUCUCCUCUCCUCCAUGUCUCUGUGUCUUACUGCAGGUCUAUAAUAUGUCUCCUCUCCUCCAUGUCUCAGUGUCUUACUGCAGGUCUAUAAUAUGUCUCCUCUCCUCCAUGUCUCAGUGUCUUACUGCAGGUCUAUAAUAUGUCUCCUCUCCUCCAUGUCUCCGUGUCUUACUGCAGGUCUAUAAUAUCUCUCCUCCAUGUCUCUGUGUCUUACUGCAGGUCUAUAAUAUGUCUCCUCUCCUCCAUGUCUCUGUGUCUUACUGCAGGUCUAUAAUAUGUCUCCUCUCCUCCAUGUCUCUGUGUCUUACUGCAGGUCUAUAAUAUAUCUCCUCCAUGUCUCAGUGUCUUACUGCAGGUCUAUAAUAUGUCUCCUCCAUGUCUCUGUGUCUUACUGCAGGUCUAUAAUAUGUCUCCUCCAUGUCUCAGUGUCUUACUGCAGGUCUAUAAUAUGUCUCCUCCAGGUCUCAGUGUCUUACGGCAGAUCUAUAAUAUGUCUCCUCCAUGUCUCUGUGUCUUACUGCAGGUCUAUAAUAUGUCUCCUCUCCUCCAUGUCUCUGUGUCUUACUGCAGGUCUAUAAUAUGUCUCCUCCACGUCUCAGUGUCUUACUGCAGGUCUAUAAUAUGUCUCCUCUCCUCCAUGUCUCUGUGUCUUACUGCAGGUCUAUAAUAUGUCUCCUCUCCUCCAUGUCUCUGUGUCUUACUGCAGGUCUAUAAUAUGUCUCCUCCAUGUCUCAGUGUCUUACUGCAGGUCUAUAAUAUGUCUCCUCCAUGUGUCUGUGUCUUACUGCAGGUCUAUAAUAUGUCUCCUCUCCUCCAUGUCUCUGUGUCUUACUACAGGUCUAUAAUAUGUCUCCUCCAUGUCUCUGUGUCUUACUGCAGGUCUAUAAUAUGUCUCCUCUCCUCCAUGUCUCUGUGUCUUACUGCAGGUCUAUAAUAUGUUUCCUCCAUGUCUCUGUGUCUUACUGCAGGUCUAUAAUAUGUCUCCUCUCCUCCAUGUCUCAGUGUCUUACUGCAGGUCUAUAAUAUCUCUCCUCUCCUCCAUGUCUCAGUGUCUUACUGCAGGUCUAUAAUAUGUCUCCUCCAUGUCUCUGUGUCUUACUGCAGGUCUAUAAUAUGUCUCCUCUCCUCCAUGUCUCUGUGUCUUACUGCAGGUAUAUAAUAUGUCUCCUCUCCUCCAUGUCUCUGUGUCUUACUGCAGGUCUAUAAUAUGUCUCCUCUCCUCCAUGUCUCAGUGUCUUACUGCAGGUCUAUAAUAUGUCUCCUCCAUGUCUCUGUGUCUUACUGCAGGUCUAUAAUAUGUCUCCUCUCCUCCAUGUCUCUGUGUCUUACUGCAGGUCUAUAAUAUGUCUCCUCCAUGUCUCAGUGUCUUACUGCAGGUCUAUAAUAUGUCUCCUCUCCUCCAUGUCUCUGUGUCUUACUGCAGGUCUAUAAUAUGUUUCCUCCAUGUCUCUGUGUCUUACUGCAGGUCUAUAAUAUGUCUCCUCUCCUCCAUGUCUCAGUGUCUUACUGCAGGUCUAUAAUAUCUCUCCUCUCCUCCAUGUCUCAGUGUCUUACUGCAGGUCUAUAAUAUGUCUCCUCCAUGUCUCUGUGUCUUACUGCAGGUCUAUAAUAUGUCUCCUCUCCUCCAUGUCUCAGUGUCUUACUGCAGGUCUAUAAUAUGUCUCCUCCAUGUCUCUGUGUCUUACUGCAGGUCUAUAAUAUGUCUCCUCCAUGUCUCAGUGUCUUACUGCAGGUCUAUAAUAUGUCUCCUCCAUGUCUCAGUGUCUUACUGCAG